rnacentral:rRNA from 1 species
AGAGGGUGCAAACGUUGUUCGGAUUUACUGGGCGUAAAGCGCGUGUAGGCGGCUUGGCAAGUUGGAUGUGAAAUCCCACGGCUCAACCGUGGACGUGCAUCCAAAACUGCUUCGCUAGAGUCUCGGAGAGGAAGGUGGAAUGCUUGGUGUAGAGGUGAAAUUCGUAGAUAUCAAGCAGAACACCUGCGGCGAAGGCGGCCUUCUGGACGAUGACUGACGCUGAGACGCGAAAGCGUGGGGAGCAAACAGGAUUAGAUACCCUGGUAGUCCACGCCGUAAACGAUGAGUGCUAGGUGUCACGGGCUUUGACCCUCGUGGUGCCGUAGCUAACGCAAUAAGCACUCCGCCUGGGGAGUACGGUCGCAAGACUAAA